GUGUCAGCCGCCGCGGUAAUACGGAGGGUGCAAGCGUUAUCCGGAUUCAUUGGGUUUAAAGGGUGCGCAGGCGGAUAAUUAAGUCAGUGGUGAAAUCCCGGGGCUCAACCUCGGAACUGCCAUUGAUACUGAUAAUCUGGAAUACGGUUGAAGUGGGCGGAAUGUAGCAUGUGGCGGUGAAAUGCAUAGAGAUGCUACAGAACACCGAUCGCGAAGGCAGCUCACUAAGCCGAUAUUGACGCUCAGGCACGAAAGCGUGGGGAGCGAACAGGAUUAGAUACCCUGGUAGUCCACGCCGUAAACGAUGAUAACUCGUUGUUGGCGAUAUACAGUCAGCGACUAAGCGAAAGCGAUAAGUUAUCCACCUGGGGAGUACGAUCGCAAGGUUGAAACUCAAAGGAAUUGACGG
rnacentral:rRNA from 1 species